GACGAACGCUGGCGGCGUGCUUAACACAUGCAAGUCGAGCGGUAAGGCCCUUUCGGGGGUACGACGAGCGGCGAACGGGUGAGUAACACGUGGGUGACCUGCCCUCCAGCUCUGGGAGUAAGCCUGGGAAACUGGGUCGUAAUACUGGAUAUGACUCCACGGUGCAUGUCGUGGGGUGGAAAGCCUUGUGCGGCUGAGGAUGGGCCCGCGGCCUAUCAGCUUGUUGGUGGGGUGAUGGCCUACCAAGGCGACGACGGGUAGCCGGCCUGAGAGGGCGACCGGCCACACUGGGACUGAGACACGGUCCAGACUCCUACGGGAGGCAGCAGUGGGGAAUUUUUCGUCAAUGGGCGAAAGCCUGACGAAGCAACGCCGCGUGGAGGAUGACGGCCCUAGUGGUCUUAAACUCCUGUCUAGCGGGACGAAAAAUAUUUGAGGUAAAUAAUCUCAGAUAUUGACUGUACUGCU
rnacentral:rRNA from 1 species